GUGAGGAAUAUUGCACAAUGGAGGAAACUCUGAUGCAGCAACGCCGCGUGGAGGAUGACGCAUUUCGGUGUGUAAACUCCUUUUAAGAGGGAAGAUUAUGACGGUACCUCUUGAAUAAGCACCGGCUAACUCCGUGCCAGCAGCCGCGGUAAUACGGAGGGUGCAAGCGUUACUCGGAAUCACUGGGCGUAAAGGGUGCGUAGGCUGACUUUUAAGUCAGGCGUGAAAUCCAAUGGCUUAACCAUUGAACUGCGCUUGAAACUGGGAGUCUAGAGUUCAGAAGGGGCAGAUGGAAUUAGUGGUGUAGGGGUAAAAUCCGUAGAUAUCACUAGGAAUAUCAAAAGCGAAGGCGAUCUGCUGGGAUGAUACUGACGCUGAGGCACGAAAGCGUGGGGAGCAAACAGGAUUAGAAACCCGUGUAGUCC
rnacentral:rRNA from 1 species